rnacentral:piRNA from 1 species
UACCUUCCAUUUUCGUAGUGCGGGUCC